AGGACGAACGCUGGCGGCGUGCUUAACACAUGCAAGUGGAGCGACGAACCAGGGCUUGCCCUGGGGCAGAGCCGCGAACGGGUGAGUAACACGUGGGUUACCUGCCUCGAUGACCGGGACAACCCGAGGAAAACUCGGGCUAAUACCGGAUGUGCCCGCAAGGGGAAAGGAAGCUUCGGCCUCCGCAUCGAGAUGGGCCCGCGGCCCAUUAGCUUGUUGGUGAGGUAACGGCUUACCAAGGCUUCGAUGGGUAGCUGGUCUGAGAGGACGAUCAGCCACACUGGGACUGAGACACGGCCCAGACUCCUACGGGAGGCAGCAGUGGGGAAUCUUGCGCAAUGCGCGAAAGCGUGACGCAGCAACGCCGCGUGGGGGAAGAAGGCUUUCGGGUUGUAAACCCCUUUCAGUUGGGACGAAGCUUCGACGGUGAAUAGCCGGCCGGAGUGACGGUACCUUCACAAGAAGCACCGGCUAACUACGUGCCAGCAGCCG
rnacentral:rRNA from 1 species